rnacentral:pre_miRNA from 1 species
AAUCGAGCUUUCUGUAUCCGUGCUGAGAUUUCAUCAGUCACCACCAUCAGCACUGAUGAGACUCCCCAGAUACGUGAAGCGGUUUACACGCUCA